UCCUUGUGUUAAGGUGCAUCUAGUGCAGAUAGUUGCAAAGUCCAUAAUCUACUGCUCUACUUGCUCCUUCCGUCACAAG
rnacentral:pre_miRNA from 1 species